ACGAACGCUGGCGGCGUGCCUAAUACAUGCAAGUCGAGCGGACAGAUGGGAGCUUGCUCCCUGAUGUUAGCGGCGGACGGGUGAGUAACACGUGGGUAACCUGCCUGUAAGACUGGGAUAACUCCGGGAAACCGGGGCUAAUACCGGAUGCUUGUUUGAACCGCAUGGUUCAAACAUAAAAGGUGGCUUCGGCUACCACUUACAGAUGGACCCGCGGCGCAUUAGCUAGUUGGUGAGGUAAUGGCUCACCAAGGCGACGAUGCGUAGCCGACCUGAGAGGGUGAUCGGCCACACUGGGACUGAGACACGGCCCAGACUCCUACGGGAGGCAGCAGUAGGGAAUCUUCCGCAAUGGACGAAAGUCUGACGGAGCAACGCCGCGUGAGUGAUGAAGGUUUUCGGAUCGUAAAGCUCUGUUGUUAGGGAAGAACAAGUACCGUUCGAAUAGGGCGGUACCUUGACGGUACCUAACCAGAAAGCCACGGCUAACUACGUGCCAGCAGCCGCGGUAAUACGUAGGUGGCAAGCGUUGUCCGGAAUUAUUGGGCGUAAAGGGCUCGCAGGCGGUUCCUUAAGUCUGAUGUGAAAGCCCCCGGCUCAACCGGGGAGGGUCAUUGGAAACUGGGGAACUUGAGUGCAGAAGAGG
rnacentral:rRNA from 1 species